UACGUAGGGCGCAAGCGUUAUCCAGAAUUAUUGGGCGUAAAGAGCUCGUAGGCGGUUUGUCGCGUCUGCCGUGAAAGUCCGGGGCUCAACUCCGGAUCUGCGGUGGGUACGGGCAGACUAGAGUGAUGUAGGGGAGACUGGAAUUCCUGGUGUAGCGGUGAAAUGCGCAGAUAUCAGGAGGAACACCGAGGGCGAAGGCAGGUCUCUGGGCCAUAACGGACGCGGAGAAGCGAAAGCAUGGGAGCGAACAGG
rnacentral:rRNA from 1 species